AAAUUAUAUAGUUUAUUACUUACAAUAAUAACAAGUUUAUAAAAUAAACAUAAUUUA
rnacentral:tRNA from 1 species